CAGUAUUAUAUGCUGAUGUUAAAGAUUAAGCCAUGCAUGUGUAAGUUUAAAGACCUAGUAGGAUGAAACUGCGGACGGCUCAUUAUAACAGUAAUAGUUUCUUUGGUUAGUAGGUACAAGGAUAACUUUGUGAAUGAUAAAGCUAAUACUUGAGACGAUCUGGGGAGUACUUGUACUUUCCGGCCGGUGGUCGCAAGGCUGCCGAGAAAUGACAUUCUCUUGUGAAAAAGGAUGCCACGACAAUUGAGGAAAGCGACGCUUUUUACAAGUAACCAAUGGGAAUUUCUGAUCUAUCAAUUUGUUGGUAGUAUCGAGGACUACCAAGAUUAUAACGGAUAACGAGGAAUUGGGGUUCGACAUCGGAGAGGGAGCUUUACAGAUGGCUACCACUUCUAAGGAAGGCAGCAGGCGCGUAAAUUACCCACUUUCGACAUGAAGAGGUAGUGACGACAAAUAACUCUUGGGGCC
rnacentral:rRNA from 1 species